ensembl:lncRNA
CUCGGGGCGAGGAGCGAGCAGGCGGCGGCGGACGAGGAAGCGAGGCGCGGAGAGAUUGAGUAAAACCCAGAGCCAGCAUUUGAACGCAGGCCCCGGGCCAGGAGUCGUUUCCGGCCCGGUUCUCGUCCGGCCUCGCGAAGGGCUGGCCCGACGGCUUGGCUCCUCGGGAAGAAGUUAGGAAGCGACCUUUCCGGGUUUCCGCAGGUUGAAGCUUGCAGAUGAUGCAGCAGGUUCUCUGCCCGGCCAGGCAGCGUAGAAGCUCUUCGCUCUGUCCCUGAGAGGGGAGCGGUCCUGUCGGGAGGCCCAGGGAGACCCAGAUGCAGAGCUGCAGUCUCCACGCAGCAGUCGGCGAGAAGCUGGGCUCUGGCAGCCUGUGGGAGUGAGCUCCGCGCUGCGUGCUCUGCAGUCGAAGUUUGGCCAGAGCCAUGCGGUUUGGACAGAGGAACACAAGUUGGUUCAGUCACCCCACCCUCCUCCUGCUCCUCCCUCCACUGGAUCUCAGCCCCUGAGGCCCGCAGCCUUCCAGGAGCAGUGCACUCAGUCUCUUCUCUCAGGGUGCAGCGCACCUUCCCCGCUCCUUACCCCUCCUGCUCCACUAGACGAAGAGCUGGAAGGUGAUGCACUUCGGCUUUGCUCUCCAGACAGAAGGACCCUGGAUGGGGCAGAAGAGGGAAGUAUCACAGGCUCUUCUGGACUCCUGGUGGCUCCAGGUGUCAGAGAAGCCUGUGGCACUUUGGACUCGUCUUUGUUCCUGACAGAAGCACCUGGACCAAAUGGGUCAGGCCUACCACAGUGUGUGCUAUCCAGCUUCCUCACAAAGUGAUUAAGCACACCUGGCCAGUUGUCCAUUACUAGGAAGUCCACCUCCAUCCACGACUAGGUGUCUUCUCAAAGAUCUCCAGUGCAAGUGCAAGGAGAAAUGGGAAAUGGACGCUUACUUGGAAACAUACCAGACAUUAUACCUGGCUGCUGUCUCCACAGCCUCCUCUGCAGUAGAUCUCCUAGCCCACUCCUCCUAUCCAUCUGAAACUCUUUUACCAGGGACCCUCACUUUCCUCCCCAUAAAGUUAAGACAUGGCAGUUGAAAAUGGCAUCAAGACAGAUGACAGGCAGGAAGCACCGCUGCCCAGGUUGUCUGGGUCUCUGCUUUCCACUGCUUAAUUGGCACCACCUUGUUUCUGUGAUCCUGGGGCUUCUUCCAGGCCAGCAGGCAGGAGCAGCAGGCAGGCUGUGGUCUUCCUCUUCACCACCUUCCAGAUCUGCCAUCCAUUGCAGGCAGGGGAUAAUAAGGUGGUACUGAAGCUGGAGCAGAUGCUUCAGGGCUGGCCAGGCAGGCCAUGGGGUGGGGGUGGGGGUUCCUGCAGAUAAUAAAUGGAAGACAGGAAGCCUCUGCCACCCUGCAGUCCUAGGGGCUUCACCCCAGGGAGGAAGAGGUCAAUACAGGAAGCAAAUGGCAGGCUCACUGGCCUUCUUCGGAGAGGAGGCCACCAGGAAAACCAGAGUCAGCGAAUGCAAGCAACAGUCUCUGACCCACAGUGCUCAGAAAGAGGCAGCAGCCCCGAGGUGAGGAGAGCACUAGGGAAUGGUGGGGACUGGUAAGCCAGAGAACCCAUGUUGUUUCCACCAGCUUCUGCUGAGUGUUACCCCUUGCAGAUGAGCCUAGGCUCCCCAUGGUUCUGGAAUGCAAAUCUCAGUAUUUAUGUGAUGUCUCUGAAUACGUGCUGGCAACUAAGUCAGAACUUUAACAGAAAUAUGUCAGCCAGCUGUGGUGGCACUCACUGCAAUCCCAGCCCUCAGGAGGCUGAGGCAGGGAGAUUAUGAAUUCAAGGGCAGCUUGACUUACAUAGAGAAUCAAGCUCAAACUGCAUUGCUUUGUGAGACCCUGUCUCAAAAAAAUAUGUACAUAAUAGGAGGACAAAUGAAACACAGUCAACUCAGUGGAGUCCAGGGGCUGGGUUUGUGGUGUCUGCUUUAGAAAUCAACUGUUACAGGGCUGCCUAAUGACAGCAAUAAUAAAAGCUGACAUCUGUGCUGGGAGCAAUGGUACACACCUGUAAUGCCAGCUUCCUGGAAGGCUCAGGCAGAAGGAUCAUAAGUUUAAGGCUGCUUUGGGCAAGUUAGUGAGACCUUGUCUCAAAAUAAAUGAUGAAGGACCAGCAAGUGGAUGGUUAAGCCUCGGACUCAAGGAGCAGGGCUCCCACCCACGCCCUGCCCCCCAGUGACCAGCUUAGCACUGCAGCCCCCACUCUACCUCUGGCCUCCUGGCUGUGCCAGUACCUGGUUCCACACUAUAGAGGCACAGGGGGUCAUAAAGGCCAUUGUCCUGAGCUCCAGAAGACAGUGCAGAAGUGAACAGAAAGAGGGCCUCUCUCAGGCUCCUUGAUGGAAAUUGAAGCCCACUGGAAAAGUGAAAAGAAUCUGCAAUAAAGGCUCACCAGACCAUUGUUUGUGGUAAGUUGGAGGGGUCAUCACCUCCCAUCGGAACCUGGACUAUCUUCAGGGGAAGGGCAGCUGGAACCUGCAGUAGAACCUUGCAGAGUUCAACCCUGCAGGAGGACAGGGAGCUCAACUUGGGACUUGCAGCCAGAAAUCUGCCUGAAUCUCACAGCUCUGCUACUAGCUUGCUGAGACUCAUUGACUUGUAUCUGCACACUGCUGCCCACAUUCUCUGUUGUGACUGCAGAGACAUAUACCCUGAAGGAGGCCCUUCAUUUUUAUGUUUUGUUAUUUUAAAAUUUUUCUUUGCUCUUUUAAUUUUUUUCUACUCUUUUCAAAUUUUUCUUUUUUCUUUUCUCUUUUCCUCCCCCCCCCCCAUUCUCAUGAUGUCCCACAUUGUUCUUCAUCUCCCUUUUUGUUCCUAUUCUGGCCCUAAUUUGGAUUUCUUUAUUUUUCUCCUCUUUUUCCUUUUCUUGAUUGUCAUUAAAAAACAGUAAAUACAGUUUCUAGCCUCCCUGUUGCUAUUAGGUUGUUCUGUUCUCAUCUUUGUUCUUUCUGUCUUUUUCUCUUGUUUUCAAGUUUCUUAAGAGUUUGCGUGAUCUUGCUGUGUCCUCUGGCUUCACUGCUAAACUUUCCUUAUCCUUCUACCUAUUCCUCCCUCCCCAACUCCUUCUAACUCCCCAUCCCAAAUGGUAAAGUUGCUAUAUGGAAGAGUUUAUUCACUAUAAACAUAUGUUGGGCUGGUCCUCGAUUUUGAUUUAAUUCAAACAGUUAAAAGUGAUAGAUUAAUAACUACCACAAAUUGUCAUUUUCUAAGCUGUGCUUGAUGCUAUGGUGUUGCUGAUUGUAUCACUUGGGCUAAGGUGUUGUGAUUGAUCUAAUCAGUUGUCCUUCCUGG